rnacentral:rRNA from 1 species
GAUGAACGCUGGCGGCGUGCCUAAUACAUGCAAAUCGAGCGAAGCGUGGACGGGUGAGUACCCCGUGGAUAACCUCCUAUAAGACUGGGAUAACUUCGGGAAACCGGAGCUAAACCCGCUACUUAUAGAUGGAGCCACUCUGCAUUCGCUAGUUGGUAGGGUAACGGCUUACCAAGGCAACGGUGCAUAGCCGACCUGAGAGGGUGAUCGGCAACACUGGAAGUGAGACACGGUCCAGACUCCUACGGGAGGCAGCAGUAGAGAAUCUUCCGCAAUGGGCGAAAGCCUGACGGAGCAACGCCGCGUGAGGGAUGAAGGGCUUCGGAUCGUAAAAUGCUGUUAUCAGGGAAGCGGUACCUAAUCAGAAAGCCACGGCUAACUACGUGACAGCAGCCGCGGUAAUAC